UACGUAGGGUCCGAGCGUUGUCCGGAAUUAUUGGGCGUAAAGAGCUCGUAGGCGGUCUGUCGCGUCGGAUGUGAAAACCCAGGGCUCAACCCUGGGCCUGCAUUCGAUACGGGCAGACUAGAGUUCGGUAGGGGAGACUGGAAUUCCUGGUGUAGCGGUGAAAUGCGCAGAUAUCAGGAGGAACACCGGUGGCGAAGGCGGGUCUCUGGGCCGAAACUGACGCUGAGGGGCGAAAGCGUGGGGAGCAAACAGG
rnacentral:rRNA from 1 species